rnacentral:misc_RNA from 1 species
GCCACAGCCACAGCCACAGCCACAAUCCUAGGCGCCACAUCAAUAAUAAUUUAACAAUAAAAGAUUGGAAAUAUAGAACAGACAGCAAAACUGUUGAUUAAUUUGAGAUGUUCAUUGCACAAACAACAUUUUAGUGGAAGAAAUAAUAAUCCUAACAAAUACGUGAAAUCUUGAAUAUAGCACAUAUUAUAAAGAAGUAAUGCUAAAUAAAAACAGUAAUAUCCAAAGCACAAAAAAUCCCUUCUUUUCCCAAACUGCAGACACUACCAUGUGUUGCGCAUGUGUGUACACAUUGAUACCACCAUGCAGGCUACAUCAUUUCAUCAUAUAACAGGGCAUAUUUAUCUAUAAAUCUUCAUGAAAAUUUCAGAAUUCUGCAUUGUCAAAAAAAAAAAAAAAAAA